CGUGAACCAAGGCAAGAUACACACCGCUCCGUCACCCUCACACUUAUAGUCAAAAUUUUAAACUCAAAGGACUUGACGGUAUUGCAAAUCGCCCUAGAGGAGCCUGUCCAAUAAUCGAUAAUCCCCGUUUUACCUUACCCACUUUAGCCACCAACAGCCUAUAUACCGCCGUCGCAAACCUACCUUAUGAAAGUACCACCGUAGAUACAAUAGCCCGUCCCGCUAACACGUCAGGUCAAGGUGUAGCUUAUGAGUGGGACUCGAGAUGGGCUACACUCUCUCCAUGCCAGAGACUUUUUUCCCCUAAUGAAAGUGGGCUAAAUGCUGGAUUUAGCAGUAAACUGGACAAGAAAGUCAAGUUGAACCACGCACUG
rnacentral:rRNA from 1 species